UACGAGGGGUGCAAGCGUUAUUCGGAAUAACUGGGCGUAAAGGGUGCGUAGACGGUUUGUUAAGUCUGUUGUUAAAUUCCCCGGCCUAACCGGGGUCCAGCAAUAGAAACUGAUAGACUAGAGGAUGGAAGAGAGAAGUGGAAUUCUCGGAGUAGCGGUAAAAUGCGUAGAUCUCGAGAGGAACACCGAUGGCGAAGGCAGCUUCUUGGUCCAUAUCUGACGUUGAGGCACGAAAGCGUGGGGAGCAAACAGGAUUAGAUACCCUGGUAGUCCACGCUGUAAACGAUGAUCACUAGAUGUUAGUCUUGCUUAGCAGGAUUAGUAUCGUAGCUAACGCGUUAAGUGAUCCGCCUGGGGAGUACGGUCGCAAGAUUA
rnacentral:rRNA from 1 species